CUUCGUUUCUCAACCAAAUCGUUCGAGUAAGGCACCAGAGGUCCAAGCGACCCGCAGGAGGGACCUUCAAAGGGUCCAGUUAGCUCGGACCAUCAGCCGUAGAAGUGCGCAGGAUCCACCACCGGGCCAUUCCUAGCUUCCGCGCCAUCAAAUCAGGUAGAGUUUUGUAGAAAAGCCCUUGGAACUCUGUAAACUUUAGAAAAUGCUCUGAUAUCUAGUUGAAACUGAAAAACUGGAGUUGAGAUCUGUUAUUUGAGAUAUUCUGGCAGUUGGUGUG